GAAGGAUGGAAGACAGUCUGUGUCUUUACUAUGUGCUAUCUUUCUGUGUGCAGUAACUCUAUGAGGAUAAUCUCUUUGAAGUAUAUCAGUUAAUUCUCCCUGGUGUAAACUAUACAGCAAAUUUGAAAUUACUGCCAUUUUGAAUUGUAUUUAUUUUACAUAUUUUAAAACAGGCAGGGAAAGUCAAACAACAAACCAUCUGAGUUUAAGGACAGCCUUAAAUUAAAUCAGAUUAUUUCAGAUUUUAGUCUCUGCUUACUAUAAAGUCUGUUGCAAAUGGAUACUUUUUGUGGACCUUCACGUGUAAGAGUCCAUUGGCCUUACAAAUCUGAGUAUUACGUGGUUUUGCUAGCUAACCAUGGAAAUCUUUUUGCAUUACAGCAUCAUUGAGAAAGGGGAGGAGCACUGCGGGCCUCUUAUUGAGGCUCACAAGGAGUGCAUGAGAGCGUUGGGGUUUAAAGUAUGAGUGAGAUGAGCAGCGGGGCUGCAUGCAUGGUGAUAUGCUGUUUGGUGGCUGGGUUCUCAGGUGGCUAAUGAAUAUUAAGUUAUUUCUGCAUAUUAUUUCAAAGAACAAACUUAUGUGGAAUCUAUUUAUAAAGAAUUUCUAACAAACAAUAUGUAUACUGCCUCUGUGGCACCUCCAUUAUCUGAUUUUCAUUGGCUGAUAGAGAUCUAUUUUCCUCUUAAUAAAGGACUUCAAAUGCCGA